AUUGAACGCUGGCGGCAGGCCUAACACAUGCAAGUCGAGCGAGAGGCGGACGGGUGAGAGAUGUGUGUGGAACUGCCCGAUAGAGGGGGGUAACUCCUGGAAAAGGUAGCUCAUACAGCAUACGCUCUGAUGUGCCCAUAUGGGAUUAGCUAGUAGGUGGGGGAAAGGCUCACCUAGGCGACGAUCCCUAGCUGGUCUGAGAGGAUGACCAGCCACACUGGAACUGAGACACGGUCCAGACUCCUACGGGAGGCAGCAGUGGGGAAUAUUGCACAAUGGGCGCAAGCCUGAUGCAGCCAUGCCGCGUGUAUGAAGAAGGCCUUCGGGUUGUAAAGUACUUUCAGCGGGGAGGCGUUACUCGCAGAAGAAGCACCGGCUAACUCCGUGCCAGCAGCCGCGGUAAUUC
rnacentral:rRNA from 1 species